rnacentral:rRNA from 1 species
UAGGGAAUCUUCGGCAAUGGACGAAAGUCUGACCGAGCAACGCCGCGUGAGUGAAGAAGGUUUUCGGAUCGUAAAACUCUGUUGUUAGAGAAGAACAAGGACGUUAGUAACUGAACGUCCCCUGACGGUAUCUAACCAGAAAGCCACGGCUAACUACGUGCCAGCAGCCGCGGUAAUACGUAGGUGGCAAGCGUUGUCCGGAUUUAUUGGGAGUAAAGCGAGCGCAGGCGGUUUCUUAAGUCUGAUGUGAAAGCCCCCGGCUCAACCGGGGAGGGUCAUUUGAAACUGGGAGACUUGAGUGCAGAAGAGGAGAGUGGAAUUCCAUGUGUAGCGGUGAAAUGCGUAGAUAUAUGGAGGAACACCAGUGGCGAAGGCGGCUCUCUGGUCUGUAACUGACGAUGAGGCUCGAAAGCGUGGGGAGCAAACAGG